AUGCCCUAUAGAACCCCCCAAUCCUGUAUAGAACCCCUCCCGUGCCCUAAAAACCGUUCUGUCCCCUAUACAACCCCUCCCGCCCCCUAUAGAACCCCCCCAAUCCCAUACAGAACCCUUCUCUCCCCCCCAAUCCCAUACAGAACCCUUCUCUCCCCCCCAAUCCCAUACAGAACCCUUCUCUCCCCCCCAAUCCCCUAUAGAACCCCCGUACCUGCUCCGGGCCCCCACAGCCCCUAUAGGCGCCCCCUGCUAUUUAAAGCCCCGACCUUUACGGGCAGCGCAGGCCCCGCCCGUUCUCGCGCCAGCCGCCACGCCCCCGCGGUUCGUGCAGCCCAAUGCCCCGCCCAUCUCCCCGCCCUUUGUCCCCGCCCCCCUUUCCCGCCGGACCGCGCGGGCCUGCAGGGGCGGGGGGGCGUCCCCGUUUCCUUCCGGACGCGAGCGGGACGCGCCGGCCGAGGCUAUAAAUGCGAGGGCGGGCGUCAUGUGGAGCGGCCGCGAAUCCAGCGGCACCGCCAUGGCCUCCAACGUUACGGCAGCGGCUUUGGCAGCUCCAGCUAUGGCCAAGCCCUGAGCAGGGGCCACAGCCAGCAAAGCUAUGACCAGCAGUCGUCCUACAACCCACCCCCUCCCCUGAGCUACAGCCAGCAGGGCCAGUACAGCUCUGGUAGCUGUGAGGUCAUGUUCCUAAAAAACUCCGGGAUUUUGGGGCAAAUUCUGUGGAUUUUGGGCAAAAUUGGGACUGAAAUUGGGGGAUACCGGGUGGAAUUUGGGUGUUUGGGAUGGGAACAGUUGUCCUACAACACCCCCCCCCAAGAUACAGUGGUAGAAAUUCCCCAAAAAUUGUGGGAUUUUGGGAAAAAAAUUACCAAAUUUGGGGCAGAAUCCCUGGGAUUCGGGGCAGAAUUUGUGGGAUUUAGGGGAGAAUUCUUGGAAUUUGGGGCAGAAUGCCUGGGAUUUGGGGAACAAUCAUUGGGAUUUGGGAUAGGAUCACUGGGAUUUGGGGCAGGACCAGUCACCGCCCCCCCCAGCAUUCCCUGAUCCCAGAUUUUCCAUCCCAGUUGGCAGCUAUUCCCAGCAUGGCUUAGUGCUGAGCUCUGGGGGGUUCCAGGAGCCAGGCGAGACCUUCAGCUCCCGGGGUGGCUUCGUGCGCAGGCGCAGCCACAGGAACCGUGGGGCCAUGGGGUGAGUGCGGGAGCCUCCAAGUUGCUGAGGAUGUCAGCAGCCCCCACUGAGGCCAUCCCUGCCCAGAGACCGUGGGGGAAUGGGCAGACAAGGAGAGCGUCCCUGGGGCUGGGGAAGCAGAACUCAGAGGCACCAGGGGCUCCAGGUGGGAAAUGGAGUGUGGAAUGGGGCUGUGAAAGCCC
rnacentral:lncRNA from 1 species